UAGCGAACGGCUGAGUAACACGUGGGCAACCUGCCCCUCUCAUUGGGAUAGCCACGGGAAACCGUGGAUAAUACCGAAUACUUCGAGUCUCCCGCAUGGAAGACUCGAGAAAGCUCCGGCGGAGAGGAUGGGCCCGCGGCCUGUUAGCUUGUUGGUGGGGUAACGGCCUACCAAGGGCAAUGAUGGGUAGCUGGGUUGAGAGACCGACCAGCCAGAUUGGGACUGAGACACGGCCCAG
rnacentral:rRNA from 1 species